rnacentral:piRNA from 1 species
UGAUACCAUGAUCCCGAGAGACGGGAAAA